rnacentral:rRNA from 1 species
UAGGCAGGUACAGAGGGAUGCUACCGGGCGACCGGAUGCGGAUCUCGAAAGCCUGUCCCAGUUCGGACUGGAGUCUGCAACCCGACUCCACGAAGUUGGAUUCGCUAGUAAUCGCGCAUCAGCCAUGGCGCGGUGAAUACGUUCCCGGGCCUUGUACACACCGCCCGUCAAGCCAUGGGAGCCGGGGGCGCCUGAAGUCCGGGACCGCGAGGACCGGCCUAGGGCGAAACUGGUAACUGGGGCUAAGUCGUAACAAGGUAGC